AAAGAAACCAACAGGGAUUGCCCCAGUAACGGCGAGUGAAGCGGCAACAGCUCAAAUUUGAAAUCUGGCCCCUAGGGUCCGAGUUGUAAUUUGUAGAGGAUGCUUUUGGUGAGGUGCCGCCCGAGUUCCCUGGAACGGGACGCCGCAGAGGGUGAGAGCCCCGUCUGGCUGGACACCGAGCCUCUGUGAAGCUCCUUCGACGAGUCGAGUAGUUUGGGAAUGCUGCUCAAAAUGGGAGGUAUAUGUCUUCUAAAGCUAAAUAUUGGCCAGAGACCGAUAGCGCACAAGUAGAGUGAUCGAAAGAUGAAAAGCACCUUGAAAAGAGGGUUAAACAGUACGUGAAAUUGUUGAAAGGGAAGCGCUUGUGACCAGACUUGGGCGCGGCGGAUCAUCCGGGGUUCUCCCCGGUGCACUUCGCCGCGUUCAGGCCAGCAUCAGUUCGGCGCGGGGGAAAAAGGCUUCGGGAACGUGGCUCCUCCGGGAGUGUUAUAGCCCGUUGCAUAAUACCCUGCGCUGGACUGAGGACCGCGCAUCUGCAAGGAUGCUGGCGUAAUGGUCACCAGCGACCCGUCUUGAAACACGGACCAAGGAGUCGUCUUCGUAUGCGAGUGUUCGGGUGUCAAACCCCUACGCGUAAUGAAAGUGAACGCAGGUGAGAGCUUCGGCGCAUCAUCGACCGAUCCUGAUGUUCUCGGAUGGAUUUGAGUAAGAGCAUACGGGGCCGGACCCGAAAGAAGGUGAACUAUGCCUGUAUAGGGUGAAGCCAGAGGAAACUCUGGUGGAGGCUCGCAGCGGUUCUGACGUGCAAAUCGAUCGUCAAAUAUGGGCAUGGGGGCGAAAGACUAAUCGAACCUUCUAGUAGCUGGUUUCCGCCGAAGUUUCCCUCAGGAUAGCAGUGUUGAUCUCAGUUUUAUGAGGUAAAGCGAAUGAUUAGGGACUCGGGGGCGCUAUAUUGCCUUCAUCCAUUCUCAAACUUUAAAUAUGUAAGAAGCCCUUGUUGCUUAAUUGAACGUGGGCAUUCGAAUGUAUCAACACUAGUGGGCCAUUUUUGGU
rnacentral:rRNA from 1 species